CAGCAGCCGCGGUAAUACGAAGGGUGCAAGCGUUACUCGGAAUUACUGGGCGUAAAGCGUGCGUAGGUGGUGGUUUAAGUCCGUCGUGAAAGCCCUGGGCUCAACCUGGGAAUUGCAGUGGAUACUGGAUCACUAGAGUGUGGUAGAGGAUAGUGGAAUUUCCGGUGUAGCAGUGAAAUGCGUAGAGAUCGGAAGGAACAUCUGUGGCGAAGGCGACUAUCUGGGCCAACACUGACACUGAGGCACGAAAGCGUGGGGAGCAAACAGGAUUAGAUACCCCCGUAGUCCCUGUCUCUUAUAC
rnacentral:rRNA from 1 species